rnacentral:rRNA from 1 species
GGCCUUGACAUACUAAGAACUUUCCAGAGAUGGAUUGGUGCCUUCGGAACUUAGAUACAGGUGCUGCAUGGCUGUCGUCAGCUCGUGUCGUGAGAUGUUGGGUUAAGUCCCGCAACGAGCGCAACCCUUUUCCUUAUUUGCCAGCGGGUCAUGCCGGGAACUUUAAGGAUACUGCCAGUGACAAACUGGAGGAAGGCGGGGACGACGUCAAGUCAUCAUGGCCCUUACGGCCAGGGCUACACACGUGCUACAAUGGUCGGUACAAAGGGUUGCUACCUCGCGAGAGGAUGCUAAUCUCAAAAAGCCGAUCGUAGUCCGGAUCGCAGUCUGCAACUCGACUGCGUGAAGUCGGAAUCGCUAGUAAUCGCGGAUCAGAAUGCCGCGGUGAAUACGUUCCCGGGCCUUGUACACACCGCCCGUCACACCAUGGGAGUUUGUUGCACCAGAAGUAGGUAGUCUAACCGCAAGGAGGACGCUUACCACGGUGUGGCCGAUGACUGGGGUGAAGUCGUAACAAGGUAAGCGUAGAUGA